CCUGGCUCAGGAUGAACGCUGGCGGCGUGCCUAAUACAUGCAAGUCGAGCGAAUGAUGAGGAGCUUGCUCCUCUGAUUUAGCGGCGGACGGGUGAGUAACACGUGGGUAAUCUGCCUGUAAGACGGGGAUAACUCCGGGAAACCGGGGCUAAUACCGGAUAACAAGAGAAGAAGCAUUUCUUCUUUUUGAAAGUCGGUUUCGGCUGACACUUACAGAUGAGCCCGCGGCGCAUUAGCUAGUUGGUGAGGUAACGGCUCACCAAGGCGACGAUGCGUAGCCGACCUGAGAGGGUGAUCGGCCACACUGGGACUGAGACACGGCCCAGACUCCUACGGGAGGCAGCAGUAGGGAAUCUUCGGCAAUGGGCGAAAGCCUGACCGAGCAACGCCGCGUGAGCGAUGAAGGCCUUCGGGUCGUAAAGCUCUGUUGUUAGAGAAGAACAAGUACGAGAGUAACUGCUCGUACCUUGACGGUACCUAACCAGAAAGCCACGGCUAACUACGUGCCAGCAGCCGCGGUAAUAC
rnacentral:rRNA from 1 species